rnacentral:rRNA from 1 species
CUCGUAGGUGGCCAACUAAGUCAGACGUGAAAUCCCCAGGCUCAACUUGGGAACUGCGUCUGAUACUGGAUGGCUUGAAUUCGGGAGAGGGAUGCAGAAUUCCAGGUGUAGCGGUGAAAUGCGUAGAUAUCUGGAGGAAUACCGGUGGCGAAGGCGGCAUCCUGGACCGAGAUUGACACUGAUGAGCGAAAGCUAGGGGAGCAAACGG